UCCGUAGGGCGCAAGCGUUGUCCGGAAUUAUUGGGCGUAAAGAGCUCGUAGGCGGCCUGUUACGUCUGCUGUGAAAUCCCGGGGCUUAACCCCGGGCGUGCAGUGGAUACGGGCAGGCUGGAGGCAGGCAGGGGAGAACGGAAUUCCCGGUGUAGCGGUGAAAUGCGCAGAUAUCAGGAGGAACACCGGUGGCGAAGGCGGGUCUCUGGGCAGUAACUGACGCUGAGGAGCGAAAGCGUGGGGAGCGAACAGG
rnacentral:rRNA from 1 species